rnacentral:rRNA from 1 species
GCCUCAAGAUGAGUUCUCCCCGACUAUAAGUCGGUAAGGGUUGUUGGAGACUACGACGUAGAUAGGUCUGGUGUGUAAGUGGUGUGAGCCAUUGAGCUAACAGAUACUAAUUGCCCGAGAGGCUUAACUAUACAACGCUCAAG